rnacentral:rRNA from 1 species
UACGUAGGGUGCGAGCGUUGUCCGGAAUUAUUGGGCGUAAAGGGCUCGUAGGCGGUUUGUCGCGUCGGGAGUGAAAACGCCGUGCUUAACACGGCGCUUGCUUUCGAUACGGGCAGACUAGAGGUAUGCAGGGGAGAACGGAAUUCCUGGUGUAGCGGUGAAAUGCGCAGAUAUCAGGAGGAACACCGGUGGCGAAGGCGGUUCUCUGGGCAUUACCUGACGCUGAUGGACGAAAGCUAGGGGAGCGAAAGGG